rnacentral:rRNA from 1 species
UACGAAGGGGGCUAGCGUUGUUCGGAAUCACUGGGCGUAAAGCGCACGCAGGCGGAUUGAUAAGUCAGGGGUGAAAUCCCGGGGCUCAACCUCGGAAUUGCCUUUGAUACUGUCUGUCUUGAGUCCGGGAGAGGUGAGUGGAAUUCCCAGUGUAGAGGUGAAAUUCGUAGAUAUUAGGAAGAACACCAGUGGCGAAGGCGGCUCACUGGCCCGGUACUGACGCUCAUGUGCGAAAGCGUGGAGAGCAAACAGG